ACUCCUACGGGAGGCAGCAGUAGGGAAUCUUCCGCAAUGCACGAAAGUCUGACGGAGCAACGCCGCGUGAACGAUGAAGGCUUCAGGUCGUAAAGUUCGUUGUGAGGGAAGAACAAGUAUCGGAGUAACUGCUCGUAUCUUGACGGUACCUAACCAGAAAGCCACGGCUAACUACGUGCCAGCAGCCGCGGUAAU
rnacentral:rRNA from 1 species